rnacentral:rRNA from 1 species
ACAGGGAUUGCCCUAGUAACGGCGAGUGAAGCGGCAACAGCUCAAAUUUGAAAUCUGGCGUCUUUGGCGUCCGAGUUGUAAUUUGCAGAGGGCGCUUUGGUAUUGGCAGCGGUCCAAGUUCCUUGGAACAGGACGUCACAGAGGGUGAGAAUCCCGUACGUGGUCGCUAACCUUUACCGUGUAAAGCCCCUUCGACGAGUCGAGUUGUUUGGGAAUGCAGCUCUAAAUGGGAGGUAAAUUUCUUCUAAAGCUAAAUACUGGCCAGAGACCGAUAGCGCACAAGUAGAGUGAUCGAAAGAUGAAAAGCACUUUGGAAAGAGAGUUAAAAAGCACGUGAAAUUGUUGAAAGGGAAGCGCUUGCAGCCAGACUUGCUUGUAGUUGCUCAUCCGGGUUUUUACCCGGUGCACUCUUCUAUAAGCAGGCCAGCAUCAGUUUGGGCGGUUGGAUAAAGGUCUCUGUCAUGUACCUCUCUUCGGGGAGAACUUAUAGGGGAGACGACAUGCAACCAGCCUGGACUGAGGUCCGCGCAUCUGCUAGGAUGCUGGCGUAAUGGCUGUAAGCGGCCCGUCUUGAAACACGGACCAAGGAGUCUAACAUCUAUGCGAGUGUUUGGGUGUCAAGCCCGAGCGCGUAAUGAAAGUGAACGGAGGUGGGAACCUUUCGGGGUGCACCAUCGACCGAUCCUGAUGUCUUCGGAUGGAUUUGAGUAAGAGCAUAGCUGUUGGGACCCGAAAGAUGGUGAACUAUGCUUGAAUAGGGUGAAGCCAGAGGAAACUCUGGUGGAGGCUCGCAGCGGUUCUGACGUGCAAAUCGAUCGUCAAAUUUGGGCAUAGGGGCGAAAGACUAAUCGAACUAUCUAGUAGCUGGUUCCUGCCGAAGUUUCCCUCAGGAUAGCAGUAACGUUUUCAGUUUUAUGAGGUAAAGCGAAUGAUUAGAGGCCUGGGGGUUGAAACAACCUU